AGAGUGUGCAGAGUGUGCAGAGUGUGCAGAGUGUGCAGAGUGUGCAGAGUGUGCAGAGUGUGGAGAGUGUGGAGAGCGUGUGGAGUGUGCGGAGUGGGCAGAGCUUGAGUUGGGAAGCAGAAAGCCGCAUGCGAGAAUAGAACGUAGAACCGCAUUGUAAUCAUUUCGUUGCUCUUAAUAAUAUAUAUUAAAUCAAAACAUCAUUACUUGUCCUUUCUCUCUAAGACCAAUUUGGAUACUACAUUUAUUUUAAAUCUUUGGUUUUCUUUUGUAUAGAUCGUUGUUAGACCACAGAAAUGAUUUCGAAAGAAUAGGACGUCACUGUGAUUAAUGAUCCAUUCGAUGAGAAUCGAAUGCAGAUAACCUGAUUGGCAGAUUUGAUUUGCUGUAACAAAGGCUAAUAGAACUUUUGUGACCGCGUACAAUGCGGUCGAUAAAAUCAGUGUUUGCUGUGUAGGAUGUAGGAUCUUGAAUAUUUUUCAAGGCACAGUAGCUCUAAUUAAAUCUAAUUACAAUCGUCAUACGCGAAAUUAGAGUCAGUGCUAUUUCGUCGAUUAUUUUCUUUUCUUUUCUUUCUUUUUUUAUUUGAAUUUAUUCUCCUUCCUUUAUGUACACAUUUCUCUUUUUCAAUAUUCAUCUCGGUAUUAGAGUCAGUGUUUGUCUCAAGAGGAUCCAACCUCUCCAAAGCACCAACUAUAUUUCCGAUUUCCUCCACUGAUGACGACUUUCACGACGCAUCGUUCUUCUGGGAUAUUAUAGCAUCGAUGACAACAUUUUCUACAUCUAAGGGCGAGUUUCGUGCAUUCUUGUUGCUCUGAUCACUCGAUCGUAUCAUAGGAUGAAAAGUUAAAAUCGGCACGGGUGACUGGUUGUAUUACGUGGAACUUUUAACGAGCAUAAUGACUGCGGGUGUUUACUAUACCCGUGAAUAAUAAUAUUUCCUUUUCCUAUCUUUUAUAUCAUAUUAAUUCAGGGAAAACCUUGCAUAUGGCGUUCUUGAUACUAACAAUAUGACGUUGAUGAUAAUGAUAUUAAUGCAAUAUUAAAUGCUAUAAUUAAUAUGAACGAUAUAAUGUUGAUAAUUAGUUUGAAUAAGUGGAUGUAAAAGCAGAACAUAUCCAAUAUGAAUACAUAUUUGCAAAAGCCAAACAUCAAUAAAAUGUGAAUAGGCACUUGUAUAAAUAACAAACAUUGAAAUAACUUCAAUUUAAGUGCUUUGUAGUAAAGUCGAAUAUCCUACGACUUCGUUGUAGUGAAACUCGAAAUUAUUGUAACGAUAAUGUAAAUUAUAGUUGAUAAUUUUUUGUCUCAUUUUCAGUCUCAUGAUGAUAUGUCGGACAAUUCAAUUAUUUAUUCUUCGUAAUAUAAACUUUAUUAUAAUGUGAUAGAGUAUUUUGAUACGAAGAUAUUAAAGUUCAAUUCUUUGUAUAUUCAGUGUAAGAAUUACUGUUGCAAUAGUCCUCGGUCGCGCUUACUAAAAUUAUUUUUCGAAUUAGUAUUGCGUCGAUGCAUGAUCGUGAUUGUUGCGUCUAUAAAAUGUCACCCAAUAUUCUUGCAUCGAGAUUGUGGAAAUAUAUUUCCGUCUUUGGAUCAUCUGAUGCUACGAAAAGAUUUCUCCUUACGUUCCUUCGUUUUAGGUAUUUACGUAGGUUGGACUCGUGGAAACUUGGAUUUUUAAUGAUCACGUGAAAUUAGAUCAACGGUUAGGCAGAAUAAACUGAUUAACUAACUAAAAAUACAAUAUUAGUCAGUGCUUAAAUUUAUGUAUGUACAUCAAUAUUUAUGUAUUCGAGAGAUAUUAAGUGGCUGCAUAAAUAAAGAUAGUGUAUAAAUAAAUGAAAUAAAUUGAGAGACACAUUUCUCCCCUUUUUUCUUUUUAUCCACCAAUUAUUUUACAUCUUUAUGGCGAUGAAAGUAUAAAAUAUCGAUACAAGUACGAAACAGCGUCUCACAUAAAGUUAUAAAAUGAAUGGUUUGAAAUUUAAUGUAAAUUUCAAGAAGGGAAUGCGUGUAAACUGUAAUGAUACAAUGAUAACGGCGUUGUAAAGCUU